rnacentral:rRNA from 1 species
CGACUGCUAAUACCCAAUGAGCCGAGAGGUAAAAGUUAUAUCGCCUGAAGAGGAGCUCGCGUCCGAUUAGCUAGUUGGUGGGGUAAGAGCUUACCAAGGCAACGAUCGGUAGCUGGUCUGAGAGGAUGAGCAGCCACACUGGGACUGAGACACGGCCCAGACUCCUACGGGAGGCAGCAGUGGGGAAUUUUCCGCAAUGGGCGAAAGCCUGACGGAGCAAUACCGCGUGAGGGAGGAAGGCUUUUGGGUUGUAAACCUCUUUUUUCAAGGAAGAAGCAAGCGACGGUACUUGAAGAAUCAGCAUCGGCUAACUCCGUGCCAGCAGCCGCGGUAAUACGGAGGAUGCAAGCGUUAUCCGGAAUUAUUGGGCGUAAAGCGUCCGCAGGUGGUUGAUCAAGUCUGCUGUUAAAGACAGAAGCUUAACUUCUGGCAGGCAGUGGAAACUGGUAGACUAGAGUACGGUAGGGGUUGAGGGAAUUCCCAGUGUAGCGGUGAAAUGCGUAGAUAUUGGGAAGAACACCAGUGGCGAAGGCGCUCAACUGGGCCGUAACUGACACUGAGGGACGAAAGCUAGGGGAGCGAAAGGGAUUAGAUACCCCUGUAGUCCUAGCUGUAAACGAUGAACACUAGGCGUUGCUUGUAUCGACCCGAGCAGUGCCGUAGCCAACGCGUUAAGUGUUCCGCCUGGGGAGUACGCACGCAAGUGUGAAACUCAAAGGAAUUGACGGGGGCCCGCACAAGCGGUGGAGUAUGUGGUUUAAUUCGAUGCAACGCGAAGAACCUUACCAGGACUUGACAGUUCGCGAAUCUGGGGGAAACUUCAGAGUGCCUUAGGGAGCGCGGAAACAGGUGGUGCAUGGCUGUCGUCAGCUCGUGUCGUGAGAUGUUGGGUUAAGUCCCGCAACGAGCGCAACCCUCGUUCUUAGUUGCCAGCAUUAAGUUGGGCACUUUAGGAAGACUGCCGGUGACAAACCGGAGGAAGGUGGGGAUGACGUCAAGUCGGCAUGCCCCUUACGUCCUGGGCUACACACGUACUACAAUGGUUGGGACAAAGGGCAGCGAGCUCGCGAGAGUAAGCGAAUCUCAGCAAACCCAGCCUCAGUUCAGAUUGCAGGCUGCAACUCGCCUGCAUGAAGGAGGAAUCGCUAGUAAUCGCAGGUCAGCAUACUGCGGUGAAUUCGUUCCCGGCCUGUACACACCGCCCGUCACACCAUGAGU